rnacentral:lncRNA from 1 species
UCCCUCCUAAUUAUCGUUACUAGGCUCCAACAGUCUGACUUCUUUUCGAGCGCCACACUCUCUUCCUGGAGCAGAGAUCAGAGAUGAGGUUUGAAAGGAAGAGGAUGAAAGAAACCACUGAUGAGUUCUCCCCAGGAAGCAGUCCUUGGCACAGACUGAUGCACCAUGGAGACUUGCAGAGGUGUGACAAGCCAUGCUCAUCAGGAGUUGUUCAUUUAGUGUAAGAA